CCUUCCUCCAGGAACAAGCUCUGGCAGUUUCAAAGAUGUCGAUGAAUUGGAUGAAUUGGAGUACCGAUCUAACCAAGACAUUGCAGCAGGAAGAAUUCCAAACAAUACUAGUACUGGCAAAAACAUGGAAAAUUUUGAUAGCUUUCAGAUGUUUGCAAGGCAAAGGAAUGGAAGCUUUUAAUCAAAACUAGCGCAAACGAACUCGCAGUUGUUUGCAUGGCAAGGUAUUGUGAUUAUGUUUAAGUUCAAAAAUUAUGCAAAAUGGAAAACAAAUUAAUUUAUCACUACAUCAAUGGGUGUUCAGAGAGAGAGGAAAAAAUAGAAAAAUGUCUCAGGAAAUUACCUCCAUAUGUUCCUGCAAAGUCCAAGGCUUUAAAAAAGAUCUCUGGGUCUAGCAAAGCAAGUCCGAGGGGCGGAAUCAAAGUCAAGAGAUAGGGUUGAGGUCUAUUCUUACCGGUCGGAAGUUUCAGCA
rnacentral:lncRNA from 1 species